rnacentral:misc_RNA from 1 species
UACGGAGUGUGCAAGCGUUACUCGGAAUCACUGGGCAUAAAGAGCACGUAGGCGGGAUGGUAUGUCGGUGGUGAAAUCCCCCAGCUCAACUGGGGAACUGCCUCCGAAACUGCUUUCCUUGAGGCCGAGAGGGGUGAGUGGAACUUCUGGUGGAGCGGUGAAAUGCGUAGAUAUCAGAAGGAACACCGGUGGCGAAAGCGACUCACUGGCUCGGUUCUGACGCUGAGGUGCGAAAGCGUGGGUAGCAAACAGG